GCCUGAUCAAAUACUCUGCCAACUUACGGGAAAUUGACCUUGGAAACAAUGUCCUGGGAGAAACAGCUGCUGCUGACAUACUUGAAGCCCUGAGAGCAAGAAACACAGGUGAGCUGCCAGCCUUAAAAAUUACAGUCACUCCCCAGAUCUCUUCAGACACCUUCAGAUCUAUUUGGAAAAAUAGCAGAAAAUCUAGUAUUACUCCUAAAAAGAAGAAAAAGGUAAGCUCUUGGGUAUCCGGGUUGGUAAGUAGCAGCCAGAAGG
rnacentral:lncRNA from 1 species